CAGGCCUAACACAUGCAAGUCGAACGCACCUUUCGGGGUGAGUGGCAGACGGGUGAGUAACACGUGGGAACAUACCCUUCGGUUCGGAACAACGCCGGGAAACUGGCGCUAAUACCGGAUACGCCCUUUGGGGGAAAGGCUUGCCGCCGAAGGAGUGGCCCGCGUUCGAUUAGCUUGAUGGCGGGGUAACGGCCCACCAUGGCGACGAUCGAUAGCUGGUCUGAGAGGAUGGCCAGCCACAUUGGGACUGAGACACGGCCCAAACUCCUACGGGAGGCAGCAGUGGGAAUAUUGGACAAUGGGCGCAAGCCUGAUCCAGCCAUGCCGCGUGAGUGAUGACGGCCUUAGGGUUGUAAAGCUCUUUCGCACGCGACGAUAAUGACGGUAGCGUGAGAAGAAGCCCCGGCUAACUUCGUGCCAGCAGCCGCGGUAAU
rnacentral:rRNA from 1 species